AGUGAACGCUGGCGGUAGGCCUAACACAUGCAAGUCGAACGGCAGCACAGUAAGAGCUUGCUCUUACGGGUGGCGAGUGGCGGACGGGUGAGGAAUACAUCGGAAUCUACUUUUUCGUGGGGGAUAACGUAGGGAAACUUACGCUAAUACCGCAUACGACCUGCGGGUGAAAGCAGGGGAUCUUCGGACCUUGCGCGAUUGAAUGAGCCGAUGUCGGAUUAGCUAGUUGGCGGGGUAAAGGCCCACCAAGGCGACGAUCCGUAGCUGGUCUGAGAGGAUGAUCAGCCACACUGGAACUGAGACACGGUCCAGACUCCUACGGGAGGCAGCAGUGGGGAAUAUUGGACAAUGGGCGCAAGCCUGAUCCAGCCAUACCGCGUGGGUGAAGAAGGCCUUCGGGUUGUAAAGCCCUUUUGUUGGGAAAGAAAAGCAGCAGGUUAAUACCCCGCUGUUAUGACGGUACCCAAAGAAUAAGCACCGGCUAACUUCGUG
rnacentral:rRNA from 1 species